rnacentral:tRNA from 1 species
GAGCCUGUGGCUCAACGGUAGAGCGUUCGACUCAAAUACCAAAGGUCGCGGGUUCGAAUCCCAGGUGCU